GGAGGUGAGGGCGAUCUGGCUGUGACAUCUGUCACCCCAUUGAUCGCCAGGAUUGACUUGGCCGAUCUGGCUGGCUAGGCGGGUGUCUUCUUCCUCCCUCACUGCUCCAUGUGCGUCCCUCCCCAAGCUGUGCUAUCGGUCAAAAAGGAUGGCUUUCCCCAAAUAGAGAAGGUUGACCGAGUAGUUGCACUCCCCUGUGAGAACCUCCAAACAAGCUCUCAGGAAAGUGAACAGACCCCAGUGGUGUUUGGAAUAUAUGCAGCCAAAACACACGACCCCUGAGCAAGAAUAAUGACAACAGCCAGAGUGACUGUUA
rnacentral:snRNA from 1 species